GCCGCGGUAGAUCAGCCAGGGAGAUCGCACGGCUGAAGACCGUGUUGUCUUCGGGUUAACCCCGUUGACACGGGA
rnacentral:tRNA from 1 species